UACGUAGGGUGCAAGCGUUAAUCGGAAUUACUGGGCGUAAAGCGUGCGCAGGCGGUGAUGUAAGACAGUUGUGAAAUCCCCGGGCUCAACCUGGGAACUGCAUCUGUGACUGCAUCGCUGGAGUGCGGCAGAGGGGGACGGAAUUCCGCGUGUAGCAGUGAAAUGCGUAGAUAUGCGGAGGAACACCGAUGGCGAAGGCAAUCCCCUGGGCCCGCACUGACGCUCAUGCACGAAAGCGUGGGGAGCAAACAGG
rnacentral:rRNA from 1 species